rnacentral:rRNA from 1 species
GACGAACGCUGGCGGCGUGCUUAACACAUGCAAGUCGAACGAUGAAGAAGAGCUUGCUCUUCGGAUUAGUGGCGAACGGGUGAGUAACACGUGACUAACCUGCCACUUUCUCUGGGAUAACGCUCAGAAAGGAGUGAUAAUACCGGAUACUCACAUCGAGGCACAUGCCUUGAUGUGGAAAGUUUUUCGGACAGGGAUGGAGUAGCGGCCUAUCAGCUUGUUGGUGAGGUAACGGCUCACCAAGGCGACGACGGGUAGCCGGCCUGGGAGGGCGACCGGCCACACUGGGACUGGGACACGGCCCAGACUCCUACGGGAGGCAGCAGUGGGGAAUAUUGCACAAUGGGCGAAAGCCUGAUGCAGCGACGCCGCGUGAGGGAUUAAGGUCUUCGGAUUGUAAACCUCUUUCAGUAGGGACGAAGCGAAAGUGACGGUACCUAAAGAAGAAGCACCGGCUAACUACGUGCCAGCCGCCGCCGUAA